rnacentral:rRNA from 1 species
UACGAAGGGGGCUAGCGUUGCUCGGAAUCACUGGGCGUAAAGGGUGCGUAGGCGGUUCUUUAAGUCAGGGGUGAAAUCCUGGAGCUCAACUCCAGAACUGCCUUUGAUACUGGAGAGCUUGAGUCCGGGAGAGGUGAGUGGAACUCCGAGUGUAGAGGUGAAAUUCGUAGAUAUUCGGAAGAACACCAGUGGCGAAGGCGGAUCACUGGCCCGGUACUGACGCUGAUGUGCGAAAGCGUGGGGAGCAAACAGG